GACAGAGGAUGCAAGCGUUAUCCGGAAUGAUUGGGCGUAAAGCGUCUGUAGGUGGCUUUUUAAGUCCGCCGUCAAAUCCCAGGGCUCAACCCUGGACAGGCGGUGGAAACUACCAAGCUGGAGUACGGUAGGGGCAGAGGGAAUUUCCGGUGGAGCGGUGAAAUGCGUAGAGAUCGGAAGGAACGCCGGUGGCGAAAGCGGCGCGCUGGACCUCUUCUGACGCUGAGGCGCGAAAGCCAGGGGAGCAAACGGG
rnacentral:rRNA from 1 species